rnacentral:rRNA from 1 species
UUGCCCUAGUAACGGCGAGUGAAGCGGCAACAGCUCAAAUUUGAAAUCUGGCUUCGGCCCGAGUUGUAAUUUGUAGAGGAAGAUUUAGGCGCGGCACCUUCUGAGUCCCCUGGAACGGGGCGCCAUAGAGGGUGAGAGCCCCGUAUAGUUGGAUGCCUAGCCUGUGUAAAUCUCCUUCGACGAGUCGAGUAGUUUGGGAAUGCUGCUCAAAAUGGGAGGUAAAUUUCUUCUAAAGCUAAAUAUUGGCCAGAGACCGAUAGCGCACAAGUAGAGUGAUCGAAAGAUGAAAAGCACUUUGAAAAGAGGGUUAAAUAGCACGUGAAAUUGUUGAAAGGGAAGCGCUUGUGACCAGACUUGCGCCGGGCGGAUCAUCCGGUGUUCUCACCGGUGCACUCCGCCCGGCUCAGGCCAGCAUCGGUUCUCGUGGGGGGAUAAAGGCCCUGGGAACGUAGCUCCUCCGGGAGUGUUAUAGCCCAGGGUGUAAUGCCCUCGCGGGGACCGAGGUUCGCGCAUCUGCAAGGAUGCUGGCGUAAUGGUCAUCAGCGACCCGUCUUGAAACACGGACCAAGGAGUCAAGGUUUUGCGCGAGUGUUUGGGUGUAAAACCCGCACGCGUAAUGAAAGUGAACGUAGGUGAGAGCUUCGGCGCAUCAUCGACCGAUCCUGAUGUAUUCGGAUGGAUUUGAGUAGGAGCGUUAAGCCUUGGACCCGAAAGAUGGUGAACUAUGCUUGGAUAGGGUGAAGCCAGAGGAAACUCUGGUGGAGGCUCGCAGCGGUUCUGACGUGCAAAUCGAUCGUCAAAUCUGAGCAU